rnacentral:rRNA from 1 species
CCUACGGGUGGCUGCAGUGGGGAAUAUUGGACAAUGGGGGCAACCCUGAUCCGGCCAUGCCGCGUGUGUGAAGAAGGCCCUCGGGUUGUAAAGCACUUUCAGUGAGGAAGAACGCCUGGUGGUUAAUACCCAUCAGGAAAGACAUCACUCACAGAAGAAGCACCGGCUCAACUCCGUGCCAGCAGCCGCGGUAAUACGGAGGGUGCGAGCGUUAAUCGGAAUUACUGGGCGUAAAGCGCGCGUAGGUGGCUUGAUAAGCCGGUUGUGAAAGCCCCGGGCUCAACCUGGGAACGGCAUCCGGAACUGUCAAGCUAGAGUGCAGGAGAGGAAGGUAGAAUUCCCGGUGUAGCGGUGAAAUGCGUAGAGAUCGGGAGGAAUACCAGUGGCGAAGGCGGCCUUCUGGACUGACACUGACACUGAGGUGUGGAAGCGUGGGUAGCAAACAGGAUUAGAUACCCGAGUAGUC